AGCCAGAUCCUCAGCCUUAGCCAAAUGUGGAAUUGUUCAUGACAGAGAGCACUCACCAUCGGGAAGGUGGAAGGCGGAAACCAGCUCCAUCUUUAAGAUGUCUGAUCCUGUGGACCAUGUGGAUUCCUCAGGGGCUCAGGGAUCCUCCUUUCACAGAGAGAAGUCCUGGAGCCAGCUGCCCUGCCACUAGCUUUUUAAGUCUGAGGCACUGGAGAUGGAGCAUAAGACUAACACCUGUAGGCAAGUGCCUGGCGAAUGAGCUCCACUCCCACCACAUCAUUAAAAAACAAAACAACAACAACAACAACAAAAAAAAUCAAUUAACUAUUUUAGCACAAAAAACUUUGAAUUUUGUAGAUAAACAAAA